AUCUAGUCAUCAGCCAGAGAGGAGUGAGGAGACUCAGUCUGUCCUCCUGCAGUUCUAUGAUCAGUCUUCACUAAGACAACCUCAGAAUGGACAUUCACCAUCUUCUGAUCUUCUGCUUCUUAUCAGGUGAGGUCCAAUCACCUGAGUAUCUCACACUGCUUUUUAAAACUUACUCACUGCCUCUGUAUCUCUGCCAUGUCAAGAAUCUGAAGCCUCUUAAGCCUGCAGUCUGUUUUAAGAUCCAGAGUAGGUGAAGUUGACAGAAAUUUUGAAGAAGUUGAAGUUGAUAGAGUUGAGAGAAAUUUUAUCUAUUUGGUUCUUUUCUCUCUGUUUUGCAGGGUCAGUAUUUAGCAGGUUAUUUUUACUUCUGCUCUGACAUCAUUUUUAACAACUUUGUUUGCACACAUCAAAUCAAACUGAACUGCUCUAAACUCAGACUUUGCUCAUGGACCAACCACCCAUGGUAUUUUUUGACUGCACACAUAUCUUUUCUUAUGCAGCCUUCGAUCUCUGACAUUACUAUAACUAAAUGAAUUAUCUUAUAAAGACAGGGUAAUUUGGGUAUGUUUCAGGCUCCUGGUUUAAACCUCAUAUUAAUUCUGCAGCUUUUCAUAAAGGCUAACUGAAUCCUAACAGAUCCUCCCCUAACUUUGACUGCUUUCAGAGUGAUCUGUGCUGCUCUUGUUCCUGUUUAUUAGCAGCAAAUUAAGCCAAUUCGUUCAUGCCUCCUGCUGACUUUGCCUCACUCAGUGUUCAGUUGUCCUUUCCUGGUAAUAAUAAUUGUUUUCAUGAUAAUUACUCUCACUGUUUAUAAAGUAUGUCGCCUCUGUCUUUUACUGUUUAUACCAUUUCUUUAACAUAAGAUCCUCAUCAGGUCUUGAUCUUUUCCACAGCUCUGGGUGGAGGAAACAACAGGCUUGUCAGCGCAAAAGUUUACAUUUUUACUUUCACUAAAGGACAAAACAUCUCAAUUAAUUGCUACACACAAUCAUCCGGGAGCUGGAAGUUCUUCUGUAAGAACCAAUGUGAGGCAGACGAUAUUCUCAUCAGAACAGAAGAGGUCCAGAGUCAGGUGGGCAGGUACAGCAUGAGUUACAGAAGUGACCCUACCUCCUCCACAGAGGGAAUCCUGAAUGUGAACAUCAUCAAUGGGGUAAAGUCUGAUGAAGGCCUGUACAGAUGUGGUUUGGGCAGCUCUUCUGUUACAGACUCUUCCACUGACUUAGAGUUCAGAGUUUGUGAUGGUGAGUUUUUUUGUUUGUUUGUUUAUUUUAGAAAGACAUGAACCAGAUGUUUUUAAUGCACAACCUGCUCAUUUAAAGCUGAAUAAUAUGUGCUCAAUUUAAGUUUAAUAAUAGGAACAUAUCAAGAAGUUGUUACAGGGUCAUUUUUUUCAUUGUGUGCCCACAGCUCUUCUUUUACUAACACUUUGGCAGCAGAUGUUGCUCCUAAACCUGCAGAUAUUGUAGAAGCCUUCACAAGUUCACAGAUGUGAAAGAUACCCAUGACAUGGACUCUGAUGAUCCCCAUACCAUCAGGGCCUUUAGCUAAAACUGAAAGAGACAUAUUCUAUACAAGGCACAACAAUAUUUAUUCCUAAAUCAUGUAAACUGAGGGCACUUUAUUGCAUUUAGAAAGUUGAAUGUACUUUUCAAAUGUUUUUUUAAAAGUCUCAUCUUUCCCCCUGUUUAACUGUCAGUCUGCUAGAACCUCCUCUCAAAUCUAGAUAACAUUCCUGCUCCCGGUCUGGUGUUUUGUUGAUUGGCCAACAUCUUCAAUCCACGUUAAUAUCUGCAGCUCUGCUGUUGAUGUUAAAAUUCUGGUUUAAAGAAAAGGAACCAGAGUCCAAAUGUGAUGAACUAUUUAUUUUAUUAUUCACUGACUUAUUUUCCAGAAGCUACUGAGUCCACAGAGUUUUAACAACAGUAAAAUACUGCCUUUUGGCUUAAUCGGCUGUAGCUGGCCAGUAUUUGACCAAAAUACUUGGAACAGUAUUACUACAAGUAUUAAUACUUGGUCUUGCAACAGCUGAUCAAUCACGCUGUUCCAGUUCAGCAGCUCCUAUUGCUUGUAUUGAGAGGAGAGAGUGCGCAUGUAUAACUUUAUAACAGGGGUCUGAGGUUGUGCUGUGGACCACAAACAAGUCAUAGAUCAGUACAUUUAGACAAACUCUACAUUUUUAUUGUAGAUUAUUUCUGAGUUGGUGAAAAAAUAUAAAACACUUUUAAAAAAAAUCUGACUUAUUAAAAAAAAAAUUAUACAGCUUUAGUCUGCCUUUCUCCUUGUUGGGAGUGGUGGUUCAGCGCCCUAACACCGCUAUUGACCUGUUGCCACUGCUGUUGUUUUGGAGCUGAUUUUCCAUUAUUGCAGAAGUUCUUCAGUGUUCCCCUGUUGUCUCUGUCCCAGCUGAGAUGUUUUGUCGGUGUCUUAAUUAAAUGAGAGAGUAUUUUUCAUAGUAUUAAAACAUUUUCUAACAUUUGAUUUGUUGUCUUUGAAAAUAUUUCAUUAAUUACAGGGAUUUAACAAUUUGCAAAGUCUGUCUUUCCCAACAUUUGAUAAUUUCCCCAACAUCUUUUAAAAUGGAGUUGUACAACAUUAUAUGUACACUACAGGCCAAAAGUUUGGAAGCAAGGCCAUUACAGGCCAAACAUUUGGGAGUAACUUCAAGUUUUUGUUCACAAUGCUUUUUUUUUUAAUCCAGCAUGAGUUUUAUGUAUUUUGGGAUGUAUUUACUCCGUGAUCAGAUGUUACUUUCAUGGAAAGGCACGAUUUUACUCCAUUUACCUUUAGAUAUAUGUAAGGUAGAUGCUGAGUUGCGCCACUAGGUGUCGCUGCACAUUAAAACAAGAGUUUACCAUUGAGAAUUGCCUUUUGUCCCUCUGACACACCGUAGGGGUUGAUAUCGCGGGUGUAAUGAGCAUUUCCUUUAGAGUUCUGAUAUCAACCUUGUAGGUAAGUCACGUUAGUUUCAUGGGAAGAUAAAGUACGAAAUAUUAAGCAUAUAAGCUGUUAUAAGUUUGUUUUGAUGAGCUAUUUUGAUGACUGAAACAUUAAGCACUUGAUAGCUGUGUAGUUUGUUGAGCUAACUACUUUAUAUUUUUGGUAAAAUCUACGUUUGGAAUACGAGUGUAAUAGCGCUAACUCGAAUGAGAUGUAGCAUUGUAAUACACUUUUCUAUUUGAAGUUUACUGAGAGUUCUGAUAUCAACCUUGUAGACCCCUGUGUUGUGAAUAAACCAACGGUAUUGCCACGAUCCCGAACCCACCUGUGUCCGUGUGCAUCUCCUUACCGGCUGCCGCUGCACCCCCCGCCAGAGGUCCAUUUCACACAUAAGCAGACACAACGCAGAGUAGCCUAGCUGUGGAGGUGUUGGAGAGCCGGCAGGCGCGCGCGAGAUACAGAGAGAGGGCUACAACUUUGGUGCCGUGACCCGGAUCGUGGUGUUGCCUUACCGAAGAGGGAAUUCUACAACCAGGCUUGUAUUGAACAUUGAACCGUGAACUUUUCCUGGAGCUGACGGACAUUUGCAACUUUUUUUUUUUUUCAUGGUUCUGAAGCAACGUUACCGUCCCAGCUAUAUCCUUUAGAGACUGUUGUGAAUACGAAUUACUACUGCUAUUGCAUUUUGAAUAUUUUUCUAAUGGGUAAACUGAAUUUUGAGUGGAAAUUAAUGGUAAACUGAAGCUAUUUAAAGCUAUUUGAUAUUCGAGGAUAUUUUUCUGUUUGUUUCAAGACUCAUUUAAGCUUGUGUAUUCAGCUAACUGAUAUUUAGUGACAUUGUUGAGUUGAACAUUUAAGUGAACUGACUAAGUAAUUAAGUUUAAUGGCCUAUUAAGUUAAGUUUUUAGACAUAGCUGAUAUUUUUUGGUUACUCUGGUAAUACUGAAAGACAUAUUACACUGCAUUACACACAGACAGUAUUGAAAUACUUUAUUUGCACACAGUAAUUGCAUAUUUCAGACACACACAUUGCGUUGUUACGGCAACAUUUAUUUUGCAUUUCACAUAAAACAUAUAGCAAGAUGACACAGAAUUACACUGAUUCAGCACUUGAGCUGCAAAGUCCCUCCACUGUGACGCCCAGCCUCUUACCUCCAGCUGGGCCUGAAGCAAGUGGUUCAAUGCCCCCUUUGCAACGACACGCUUUCCCAUCCUCCAUGUAUUCAGCUUAUGUGGCUCAGUACAUCACGCCAGUCCGUCCAUCCAGACAGCCGGGCUCCGGGGCUUCAGGACAGAUACCCCCGCUCUGCCUUGACAUCAGUCCUGUCACCAACCCAAGCAGCCCGACGGAGACACCGGCGAAUGCCUCUGUUCACACCCCCAGCGAGCAUGGACCCACAGCCUCCCUGCCUCCACAAAGCACCCCACACAGUGUUAGCGCUCAGAGGCCAGCGGUUCACCGGCUCCCCAUGCCCUACCCCAGAGCCACCCCCUAUGCUUUCCAGUCUGUUAGACCCAGCCCCCCAGUAUACCUAGGCUAUGCACACUCCACCCCUGCAACCCAAAUGCCUGGGCCACGUUUCCAAAUACCGUUAGCAGCAAGCACAGCUAACCAGCCUGCUGCUAUGGGGCGGACCCCUCAAGUGCAUUUCUGUGAAACAUCUAGUACUGUUCUGGGUUCCAGCCAUAGUGAUUCAGUGCCCCUACCCCCUGCUCAUGGGUAUGCCCCCAACACCACCCCCUAUAGCCCCCCUGUAAUGUCUGAGCAUACUGCUGCUGAUAUUCACCCCAAUCCUGCAACAUUGCCUAGCCUGUACAGUUACCCACAAGCGCCACAUUCACAGACCCCUGUUCAAACUAGAGCCAGUGCAAGCCCCCCAGUGUCAGCCUAUGGUGGUUUCAUGCAAACGCAUCAAGUGAAAAAUGUUCCAGUCUUCACGGGUAAUCCAGACUGCAAGAUUUUAGUGGAGGACUGGGUGCGUGACAUGCAAUAUCUCCUGGAAGCGAUUGAACUCCCCACGCACCUGCGUUUUUCCACGGUGGUGAGGCACCUUGGCGGUGAAGCCCGGAAGUUAAUUCUAAACAUACCCAUCCAUAACCAGAGCCCAGAGAAAGCAUUCGAGGAACUGAGAGCAGAGUAUGGCGACGCACGAGGGUCUUUAGACCCAUUAGCUGACUUCUAUGAGCGGAGCCAAAACCCGGGUGAGUCCGUCUGCUCUUAUGCUAUAGCGCUGGAGUCGAAACUGCGUGCUGUUGAAGAGAAGCAGAGGGGAGGCAAGCCUUUCCCCGACCGUGACAGCAAACUCACCCGCCAGUUCAUGAGAGGGCUCACCGAUGAAGAGGUGUAUAUGAGAAUAGCACCCAUGACACCUAGACUGCUGAGUUUUCGAGAGCUGCAGAAUGAGCUCCGUAACCUGGCAAGAGAAAACAAAAAGUUCCAGUCUCAAAACAAAGGGAAAAAGACUGUUACCCAAGUACAUGUUACACCAGAGGGAGAUAGAAAUGUGAAACCUGAAAAGGUAAACCCCACUUCUGAAUUAUCAGAGUUGACUGAGAUUGUAAAGAGGCUAGCUCUUAAGCAAGAAGAACAAAUGGCCAAGUUGUCCCACCUUGAGCGGAGAAUAGCUUCACCACCCCCUACCCCCAUCCAAGCAGUUCAGCCCCCACGGGCUAGGGCGGCCCCAAGCACAAGCUUCAUCUGUUAUCGGUGUGGUAAGCUCGGCCACACCGCCCGAAUUUGUAGAGCAGUGCUGCCAGCCCCUGCCCCUGCUGGAACCCCCCAACCAAACGCCCCUGCCGUGGGGCCCACACCCCAAUCAGACCAGCCUUUAAACGCUUAAGGCCCAUGGUAGCUGGGGCAACCAUGGGCAUACAGCGAGGCCCCCAUCCACCCACAAGAGACAUUAGCACUGGAAAAGAGGAGACACCUCUAGUCGGGCCCAGGAACGAAGGAGAAGUUGAAGUCAACGGCAUGCAGUGUAGGGCUCUCAUUGACUCUGGCUCCCAGAUAACCAGCAUCACACACAGCUACUGGCAGAGCCACCCUGUCUUGCAGAGACUGAAGCUAAAGCCCUCCAAAGUACCCAUAGAGGGCGCAGCUGGCCAAACUGUGCCCUACCACGGUGUGGUGAAUAUUGACUUGAAAGUUCUUGGAAAAGAGCAUAAAGCUGUGCCUACCUUCGUAGUUCCUGACUCCGACUACCGUUCUUCAGUCCCCCUUCUAGUGGGCACAAAUGUCAUCAGAGCCUCCCGCAGCCACCUCCAAGCGUCAUAUGGCCAGCAGUUCCUCCAUCUGGUGAAAGAGAAGCAUCCAGAGUGGUAAACAGCACUGCUGAAGGUGGGGAGCGCCGAGCAAAGUGAAAUGCAUGAUGUGGUAGGUCCUGCUGUGUACACCGGCCGUAAAGUACGCAUUCCUGCGGGUAAAGAGAUGGAUUUGAGAUGCAAGAUUAAAGAUGGUCCUCGGAGAAAGAUCUACACUGCCCUGAUUGAGAGCCAGGCCUCGGUGCGUCUUCCCCAAGACCUCCUGGUUGCCAAAGUUCUUGUUGAUGUAAAGGGAGGAUGUGCUCCAGUUAGAGUGAUGAACCUGUCCCAGCGUGUCAUAACUAUUAAGCCCCACACAACCCUGGCCAGUGCCGUCCUGAUACACCGCGUUCUGGAGUUUCCUGAGAACGAGGGGGGGGCCUGGGAACAAGGAGGCAUGCCUCAGCCUGGGACAAGUGGUGGCGAGCUGUGGUGUGGACCUAAGUGACGCGGCAGUGGAGACCGAAGAUCAACGCACCAGUCUGGAAACACUGCUAAACAAGAAUGCGGAUGUGUUCUCGCAGCACUCCCUGGACUAUGGCCACACCACAACCAUACAGCACGAGAUCCCACUGGUAGACUCAAGGCCUUUCCGAUUACCCUACCGUAAGAUACCCCCAUCCCAAUGGCAAGACGUGCGGCGCAUGUUAACUGAGAUGGAGGCAACCGGGGUCAUCCGUCCAAGUAAAAGCCCUUAUGCCUCACCAGUGGUCGUCGUGACCAAGAAAGAUGGGUCAUUAAGACUCUGUAUUGACUACAGAAAGCUUAACUCCUGCAGCACCCGAGAUGCGUUUCCUCUACCAAGAAUUGAGGAGGCCUUAGAGUCGUUAGGACAAGCUAAAUACUUCUCCACGCUCGACCUGACCUCCGGUUAUUGGCAAGUGGAGGUAGCGGAACACGACAAGCACAAGACAGCCUUUAGCACUCCCAUGGGGCUUUUCGAGGCCAACAGAAUGCCAUUUGGGCUUCAAAACGCCCCCUCCACAUUCCAGAGGUUAAUGACCUGUUGCUUCGGUGACUUGAACUUUACGCAUCUACUUAUUUAUUUGGACGACAUAAUUAUUUUUUCUUCGACCUUCAGUGAACACCUAGACCGACUGCAGUGUGUCUUCAAUCGGCUUAGAGAGCAUGGCUUGAAGCUUAAGCCGUCAAAGUGCCAGUUCGUGAGGAAGGAAGUGAACUACCUGGGUCAUCUGGUGUCGGCAGACGGCAUCAGGACGGACCCGGAGAAGAUCAGCCGUGUCAAAGACUGGCCGAGGCCUACAGACCGCAGGGAAGUGCUUCAAUUCCUUGGGUUUGCUGGCUACUAUAGACGCUACGUCAAGUCAUACUCCAGUCUAGCUGCACCCUUGUACCGCCUCACCUCGGGAGACCCUAGAAGCAAGAAGAGAGGGGCCCAGAAGAAUCCAGCCCCCGAUCCGACCUUUCUGUGGACUUCUGAGUGUGAGGAGGCAUUCCUGGCGUUGAAAGAGAAGCUGACCAAUGCACCGGUCCUGGGCUAUCCAGAUUACAGCCUGCCCUUCCUGCUGCAGACUGACGCGUCGAGAGAUGGGCUUGGGGCUGUGCUUGCACAGAUCCAGGGUGGAGCAGAGAGAGUUGUCGCUUACGCUAGCAGAGGCUUGACCCCACCUGAGACGAGAUAUCCUGCGCACAAGCUCGAAUUCCUCGCUCUUAAGUGGGCGGUCACAGACAAAUUCCAUGACCACCUUUAUGGACGCAAGUUCUCUGUGCUAACGGACAACAACCCUCUGAAGUACGUAAUGAGCACUGCCAAACUCGACGCCACUGGCCAGCGGUGGGUUUCUCACCUGUCAAUCUUUGAUUUUGAUAUCCAGUAUAGGAGGGGCCAAGACAACUCUAACGCCGACGCCCUUUCACGCAUGUCCAACCAAGAGGUCAGUGAAGUCCUGCAGACUUGCCCCCAGCAAGUGGUAGCUGAUGUACAGGGGCAGAAUGAGACACGUGGCACCCAGGAAGUGGAGGAGUCCUCCGGGGAAACUGCUGCUUCUAUGGAGGCGCCAGAGAGUGGCCAGCUGCUGGAGCCGAGUCAACCCUAUGGAGACGUGGGAAUGGAGGCACUGCCCGCUAUGACAACACAGGAGAUUCGGGCAGCGCAAAGAGAAGAUCCGGACAUUGGUCCAGUCCUGCACUUCAAGUCCCGCAACCGGAAACCAAGCCGCACCGAGAGGGUGGAAGUGGGUGCAAGUGGGGGCCUUCUCUUAAAAGAGUGGAGGAGAUUAGUGGUGAAGAAUGGUGUCAUUUACCGGCGGGUCCGUGACUGCCAUAGAGGAGAGUUGGAGCAGCUAAUACUGCCACAGAGGCUGCGUGUAGCUGUUAAAACUGCUCUUCAUGAUGAUUCCGGACAUUUAGGAUUUGAGAGAACAUUGCAGAUGAUACGUGAGAGAUUUUAUUGGCCAAGAAUGUUUCAAGAGAUUAAAGCCUGGUGUGAGCAGUGUGAGCGAUGUUGCCUGAGAAAGACUCCCACAGCUAACGUCAGAGCUCCCCUAGUCAGUAUACACACCAGUGCCCCCAUGGAGUUAGUCUGCAUGGACUAUUUGACGCUUGAGAAGUCCAAAGGUGGCAUUGAAAAUGUGCUCGUUGUCACUGACCACUUCUCCCGUUACGCGCAGGCCUACCCCACCAGGGACCAAAAGGCGGGCACAGUGGCAAGAGUAUUGUGGAGGAACUACUUCAGUCGUUUCGGCUUCCCUGCAAAGCUGCAUUCGGAUAGGGGGCGCAACUUCGAAAGUGCUAUUGUGAAAGAGCUGUGCAAGUGUACCGGCAUUACUAAAACACACACAUCGCCCUACCAUCCUCAGGGGAAUGGGACCACCGAGAGGUUCAACCGUACCCUGAUGAAUAUGCUGGGGACACUAAAGCCGCACUUGAAGCCUCGGUGGCACGAACACUUGGAUGCCAUGACACAUGCAUAUAACUGCUCACAACACGACUCCACCGGGUAUAGCCCGUACUACCUGAUGUUUGGUAGGUACCCACGGCUCCCGAUUGACCUGAUUUUCGGGUCCCCCACCGCAAAUCAGCCCUGUGGAUACCACGAGUAUGUCCAGACUCUGCAUGAUUCUUUGAUGGAGGCUUAUACCCUGGCUAACCAAACAUCUCAGCAUGCUAAAGAGCAGCAGAAAAAGUACUAUGAUCUGAAAGCCAGAAGUGAAGAUUUUGCUGCUGGGGACCGAGUCUUAGUCAAAGUUUGCCAUGUGGAGGGGAGACAGAAACUGGGAGACCGUUGGGAGUCACGCCCAUAUGUCAUUGUCAAGAAGCAGCCCAACGUACCUGUUUAUGUGGUGAGACCGGAGAAUGGAGGACCGGAGAGGGUGCUGCACAGAAACCUCCUUACCCAGUGCAUGUUCCUGCCUGUGGAUCGAAGUAACCUAGUCUUGGAGGAGAGCCAGCUGGAUAAUGAACCGUGUGAGACUGGUGUUGAUCUGGGUGAAGAUGACAGUAUGGAGGAAGUGAAAGAUGGAGCUUUGACUGGAGCAGUUGGGGGAGAAGAGCACCCCAGCACCGAACUGACCGACACAGAGACACAAGGGGAUAUGCUGGUGACCAGUGGUGGUGCCUCUUCCUCUCGAGGCGUUGACACUCCAAGGAGAAGGCCGAGAAGGAGUCGACGUCCUCCCCUGAAACUGUCUUUAGAGUGCCGGGCCAUGGAAGUGGAAAGUGACCAGCAGAAGAUAGAGAGAGGAAGAAAGUUGUGGCAAAGGGCCAAAGCAAGAAGAGCAGCUGGACACAUUUAGGGCCACGUAGUGCACACACCUAGAUGAGUCAGCUCCCCCACACACACAUUUUCUACACACUUUAUACACACACACACACACUUGUCACAUAUUUGUUUAUUUUUGAAGUUCUUUGAGUUACCUCAUGAGUCUCUUUUGAAUGAGUCUGAUGGCGGGGACGCCAUCUCUUAAAGAAGGGGUGGGUGUAAGGUAGAUGCUGAGUUGCGCCACUAGGUGUCGCUGCACAUUAAAACAAGAGUUUACCAUUGAGAAUUGCCUUUUGUCCCUCUGACACACCGUAGGGGUUGAUAUCGCGGGUGUAAUGAGCAUUUCCUUUAGAGUUCUGAUAUCAACCUUGUAGGUAAGUCACGUUAGUUUCAUGGGAAGAUAAAGUACGAAAUAUUAAGCAUAUAAGCUGUUAUAAGUUUGUUUUGAUGAGCUAUUUUGAUGACUGAAACAUUAAGCACUUGAUAGCUGUGUAGUUUGUUGAGCUAACUACUUUAUAUUUUUGGUAAAAUCUACGUUUGGAAUACGAGUGUAAUAGCGCUAACUCGAAUGAGAUGUAGCAUUGUAAUACACUUUUCUAUUUGAAGUUUACUGAGAGUUCUGAUAUCAACCUUGUAGACCCCUGUGUUGUGAAUAAACCAACGGUAUUGCCACGAUCCCGAACCCACCUGUGUCCGUGUGCAUCUCCUUACCGGCUGCCGCUGCACCCCCCGCCAGAGGUCCAUUUCACACAUAAGCAGACACAACGCAGAGUAGCCUAGCUGUGGAGGUGUUGGAGAGCCGGCAGGCGCGCGCGAGAUACAGAGAGAGGGCUACAUAUACAUUGAUGUUAACAGACCAUUGCUAAAUAUAUGUCACCAAAAGAUAAUAAGGGCUUAGUUUAAGGUUUGAAAACAUUUGCAAGAGUCACAACUUAAGUGCAAAAGCAGAAAAACAAAUCACAGUUGGAUUAUUCACUUCAACUUUUUGAUUUUUUAGAGUCUGCAUACAAAAAUCCUAAUAAAUCUCAACUGCAUUCAAACUACGGCAAAAAUGGCUAGAAAGAAGCAACUGAGUAAAGACACAAAAGUACUGAUUUGUACAUUGAGGAAAGAAGGAUACACAGAAAGAGAAAUUGCAAAAUGCCUAAAGGUGUUUAACAAAGGAGUCCACUACACUCUAAAGAGACUAGAGGAACCUGGAAGGUAUGAUGAUAGAAAAAGACCUGAACGAAAGAGAGUUACUACAAAAGCAGAGGAUAAACAUAGCAUUGUCACCAGUAAGAGAGAUCGGCAAAAGACAGCACCACAAAUAAGGGAGGAAAUUAACAUGACAAGGUCGAAACCCAUAUCUCUGACAACCGUGAAAUGACGUUUGAGAAAGGCUGGUCUGAAGAGUUGUGUAUCUGCAAAAAAACCCUACUUCAUCCGCAGAACAAGAAAAAGAGAUAUGAGUGGGCCAAAGCUCACGAAAAAUGGACUUAUGAUGACUAGAAACAAGUUUGCACUGUUUGGUUCAGAACGCAGAGUCUAUGUCCGCAGACAAACUGGUGAACGUCUGAAAGCACCAUGUGUUACACCCACAAUUGAGCAAGGAGGUGGUAGUUCCAUGGUAUGGGGAUGUUUUGCAGGUGAUGGAGUAGAAGAUUUGUUUGAAGUAAAGGGUAUCAUGAAGAAGGAACAGUACCACUCCAUCUUCCAGCACCAUGCUGCUCCAUCUGGACUCAGACUUGUGGCUCAGAAGUUCGUUUUGCAGCAAGACAAUGACCCUAAGCACGCCAAGCUCUGUCAGGGUUACCAAGACAAAAAAGAAGAGGAAGGUGUUCUUCAAAAGAUGGUUUGGCCCCCUCAGUCUCCAGACCUUUCUCCAAUUGAGCUUGUGCGGGAUGAAUUGGAACGAUCAGUCAGAAAACCACAAAUCUCUUUUUAAUGAACUUAAGAAAGCUUGGAAUGCAAUCCCUGGAACAUACCUUGAAAAACUUGUGGAACGAAUGCCUGGUAUAUGCCAAGCUGUUGUUAAAGCCAGAGGAGGUUACUUUAAAGAAAGCAAAGUCUAAGCAACAAUAACUCAAAUACCUAAUAAUUAUAGUCAAAAUGUCUCCUGAUAAGUUACUCUUUACACAAAAGUCAUGUUUACUGUUUUGCAAAUUAUAUAUAUGGAACUAUGAUCUUUUUUUGUACAAAUAUGAUCUUGCUUCCAAACUUUCGGCCUGUAGUGUAUGUAUGUAUGUAAACCCUGCAGAUUGUACAUUUUUGUUUCACCCUACUUACACCAUCAGUUUCAUUUGACAGACAAUGAGCAGAACUCAAAGCUUAAACAAUCCAAAGUCAAAAUCUCAUUAAACUGCUGUAACUGCAGAACUUUUGACCGUGUCACCAUUAUCUGUCUGUCCAGAGUCACCAUUGGAAGGAUAUACUGGUGCAAUCCGCACAGAGUUUGAAGGAGAAGAUAUCCGCAGUAUAUGCCCUGGUUCUGUCUACGGACAGUGGAAGUUCUUCUGUAAGGGUGAAUGUAAGACAGACGAGGACAUACUGAUUGAAACAGAAGCAAGCAACACUCAGAACGGCAGAUACGGCCUUGAGUAUACCAACUAUCAACUCUACCUGACCAUCAAACAAGCCACUAAGUCUGACACAGGAAAGUACAGGUGUGGUUUUGGCAAAGCUCUGUCUCCAGAUUCAUAUUAUACAUUCCCACUGAUCGUCAUAGAAGGUGAGUUUUUAUGUCACUUCAUUUGAUAACACCUCUUCUAUUAAUAUUACUCCUUCAAGAGUGAACUCUACAAUAGAUGAACUGUAUGCCAUCUUUGAGCACAUGGUGUUUUUUAAACAUUUAAUGAUCAUAUUUUGGACAAAGAAUCUACAUGUUUUUUAAAUUAAACAUAUUUUAACUCUUUUCAUGUGCAGAAAAAAAAAAACUAACCUUUGACCUCCAGCAAAGUAAGGCACUGAACUAGCUCCUCAAAGACUGGUAUGUUUAUCCUUUAACAGGCAGAAACCUUAAACAGAACCAGACUCAUGUUAGACAGCCAUCUGUUGAGACUGAGCUGGGUUUACAGAGGGGAGAGAGGGAGAUGGACGGAGGUGAAACUGAUGCUUGUAGUUGAAGCAGUUGGAAAGCAGCCAGGUCCACAACAGCAGGACGUCUGCAGCAGCUGUUCAGAAGAACCUUUGGCAUGAUGGAGCUCAGGGACUCCCAGAACAGACUGCAUUACUGACUCUAAAGGGACUUGAUGAUUCAGAGUUAAUGAGACAGACAGACAGAAGGAGGAUGGAGAUGGAAGGAAAGGUGCUCAAUAUACCCAGUACCCCCGACAGUCUAAACCAGGCAUGAACCAGAUUGAAGCUUUACCAAAAUAGAAAGUUUAAAGACAACUCUAGAGAGGGUGUCUGCCCCCCCUUCACCUCCACUGGUAGAUGAUUCCUAACUGAAAGCUCUACCACCCAGACCACUUUCACAGACUUCAGACCCAAAUCAGGUGCUGGUUAAUAUUACUUUAGACUUUGAAAGAUCUGGACUCUGACUCUCUCUGACAUCUCUCUCAUUAGCCUCCACACAACUACAUCUAUGUCCUCCACCAACACCACCACCACCAACAACAACAAGAACAACUAAGAGUUCAAGCUCCACCCUCUCACCAGGAGAUCUUGAGUCCACCUUCCAAGUGACAGGUGCAGUACAGCUCAUAAGUAAGUCAUUAUUUCUAAGUUGGUCAAGAUUCCACAUCCUGUAGUUGAAAUUCAAGAUAAAAUACAUAUUUCUAUUUCAAAUUGUGAUCAGGUGAUUUGUCUCUCUCUUCUAAGCCCCUCUGCCAUCUUACCUCGUGCCUCUGGUCGUCAGUGUGCUCCUGGUUUUUGGGCUGUUGGCUGUUUUUCUGAUCGUCCUCUGCAAAUGGAAGGCCAGGGGAAACUUUGUGGUGAACACUGGUGAAAAUGCAGACGAUGUGAACAUGGAGGUGACUUCUUUUGACUGGAGUCAAAGUACAGAUACAUUUGACAACACUUACGAUUACUAUUUUGGAUAACUGCUUUUAAAAAACACACAAAUUCAGCCUAAUCUAAAGUUCACAUUCUGCCAGUCUAUAUCAAUUUAGAAAACAUUAUUUACACUUUUAAACUCAUAUGCUGCAGGUUUUCUAAAUAAGAUACAAGAACUUCAGCUUAGCUUAUCCAGAAUACAACAAAUGACUGGAGUUUCAUCUUCAACCUGAAAAUUGACUUGUUACUGUGCAUGUCUGGUUUUCAGAAUCUGUCUUCAAUCCCUGAAAAACAAGAACAUUGAUCCAGCCAGCAGAGACCAGGACCAAACCUGAUGCAGUCUGUAGGGGCAGCAGGAAAAUCUCCAGAUCAGCUUAUGAUGUGCUUUAAAAAUUCUGCUUUUGUACCAAAAAUGAAACUAUAUUUCUGGGCCGCAUAAUUACACAAGGCAGUAGAAUGCUUAAAACAAAAUAAAGAAACAACAUGGCUAUCUUUAGAGCAAAAUUCAUGCCCCAGAAUCUCACUCCAAGUAUUUCCAUCCUAUUCAAAUGAGAUACGGACAAAAAACAAGAAAAGUGCACACACAAAGUUUAAAACUGUAAGGGAAAAAAAUGCACCAUAGUCUAUAUCUAGGGCAAUGAAAAUUUUCAAAAUAAUAGAUUUCAAACCUAGACAUUUUGAUUUAAGAUUUACAGACUGGGAAAAUAAGGGCCUUAUUUUUAUUGAUGACUUAUUUGAUAGUAAAACCUUGAAGUCAUUUAACCAUUUACAGGAAAAAAAUGGUUCGAUAUCCACAGAUUUCUACAGGUUGAGAAGCUACCUGACUUCACAUAAAGAAUGGCAGUCUCUUACAUUACAGCCUUCUGAUUUAGAACUUUUCUUCAUCAAGAUCAUAAAGAAAAUGGAUGGUAAAAAAAGAAAAUGUAUCACAUUUAUAUAAAUGACUACAGACAAUUGUAACAGGGGGCUCUCUUGGAAUAAAGGAAAAGUGGGAAUUAGAAAUGAAUGUUGUGAGUGAAGAUGAAAUUUGGAAACAAGCGUGUAAGAAUGGACAUAAACUGACCAGCAGCCCCACAUAGAAAAAUUUCAUAUGGAAAGUGAAUAUCCGCUUUUUCAAAGAUUCAUUUAUCAUCUCCAAAUUUGACAAAACAAAGACAAAUCUCUGCUGGAGCCUUGCAGACAAGAUCACACACACAUUUUCUGGGAUUGUCCAAAACUGAAUCAGAUGAAUGUCCAUCAUCCAAUAGAUCUGUAAUCAAAACAUCUGCAUCACUUUGAGGUCCAUGUUUACAUAACUGUGACUCUUCUCAGUAAAACUGACAGAUGACUCUUCAGACAAGGAAUCGUCACUGCAGCCAUCCACUUCAGAUGAGGACUGAUUUGAUGAAGAUGAUUCUUUUGUGCAAAUAUAAAAUUUAAGCAGCUUCAGUUUGGUUCGUUCAUAGAGUUUGCCAACUGUGUCAUCAAAAGGAAUCUGGUUUCUUUUGAAAUCACAGACAUGAAAGUUAAAGUCCUCCACUGGCCCUUUUGUUGAAUGUCCAUCUUGGAAAAAAGCUGCUUUCCUAUAUCCAAAAUCUGAGCAACAGUUGUUGUUUUAUCCACGGUAGCCUGUCUUGUUCCUCAGCCAAUUUUUUGUCCUUACUUGAUGAUAUUCAUUACAGCUAAAAUGAAGUCAUCCAAUUUUCCUGCAAGUCUUGGCUGCUGCAUUAUUUCUCUGUCUUGCCAUACUUUCAUUUUCUUUGUCAAACACACCAGGUGGACCACACAGUGCUCCUCUUGUCUUGGACGCGUAAAUGAUGCAUCGCGCUCCAUGGCCUGGCUCUUUCUUUCAUAGAUGUUGGCAUAUAAAAUAAAUUUUGCCCACAAAACUGAGUAUUAUAAUAUUCUUAUGUAGGCUUAAAGUAAAUAACUCAUAAGCUCGACAUGUCCAGGUCGAGCUGCGUGAGAAAUGAGAGGAAGAGGAAGAAAGAAAAACAGGGAGACAAAUUAAAUAUCUUGUUAACUUCA
rnacentral:lncRNA from 1 species